rnacentral:tRNA from 1 species
AGCCCGGUGGUGUAGUGGUCAAGCAUGGUGGGCUUUGGACCCACCGACCGGGGUUCGAAUCCCCGCCGGGCUA